GGCCUAACACAUGCAAGUCGAACGGCAGCGCGGGGCAACCUGGCGGCGAGUGGCGAACGGGUGAGUAAUAUAUCGGAACGUACCCUGGAGUGGGGGAUAACGUAGCGAAAGUUACGCUAAUACCGCAUACGAUCUAAGGAUGAAAGUGGGGGCUCGCAAGACCUCAUGCUCCUGGAGCGGCCGAUAUCUGAUUAGCUAGUUGGUAGGGUAAAAGCCUACCAAGGCAUCGAUCAGUAGCUGGUCUGAGAGGACGACCAGCCACACUGGAACUGAGACACGGCCCAGACUCCUACGGGAGGCAGCAGUGGGGAAUUUUGGACAAUGGACGCAAGUCUGAUCCAGCCAUGCCGCGUGCGGGAAGAAGGCCUUCGGGUUGUAAACCGCUUUUGUCAGGGAAGAAACGGGUUUGCCUAAUACACGGACCUAAUGACGGUACCUGAAGAAUAAGCACCGGCUAACUACGUGCCAGCAGCCGCGGUAAUACGUAGGGUGCAAGCGUUAAUCGGAAUUACUGGGCGUAAAGCGUGCGCAGGCGGUUAUGCAAGACAGAUGUGAAAUCCCCGGGCUCAACCUGGGAACUGCAUUUGUGACUGCAUGGCUAGAGUACGGUAGAGGGGGAUGGAAUUCCGCGUGUAGCAGUGAAAUGCGUAGAUAUGCGGAGGAACACCGAUGGCGAAGGCAAUCCCCUGGACCUGUACUGACGCUCAUGCACGAAAGCGUGGGGAGCAAACAGGAUUAGAUACCCUGGUAGUCCACGCCCUAAACGAUGUCAACUGGUUGUUGGGGAGGGUUUCUUCUCAGUAACGUAGCUAACGCGUGGAGUUGACCGCCUGGGGAGUAC
rnacentral:rRNA from 1 species